rnacentral:rRNA from 1 species
GACGAACGCUGGCGGCGUGCUUAACACAUGCAAGUCGAACGGAAAGGCCCGGCUUUGGUGGGCUGCUCGAGUGGCGAACGGGUGAGUAACACGUGAGUAACCUGUCCCUGCCCUUGGGAUAACUUCAGGAAACUGGGGCUAAUACCGGAUAGGAGCUCUUGCUGCAUGGUGGGGGUUGGAAAGUUUCGGCGGUUGGGGGUGGACUCGCGUCUCAUCAGCUUGUUGGUGUGGUAGUGGCUUAGCAAGGCUUGGCCGGGUAGCAUUGCUGCGAGGCUGAGCUGCCACGUUGCGACUGGGCUGCGGCCCAGACUCCUACGGGAGGCAGCGGUGCAGUAUAUUGCACAAGAGGCGGAGGCCUGAUGCGGUAACGCCACGUGCGGGGUGUCGGCCUUCGGGUUGUAUUCCACUUUCGCCUGUGACGAGACGUGAAUGACGGUAAUGGGUGAAGAAGCACCGGCUAACUACGUG